rnacentral:rRNA from 1 species
UGUUACUUGGAUUAGAAAUGCCACUGUAAGUUGCAAUAUCCUCGUCACCAAAAUGUGGAACAUUACUUAUGAUCAUUCCCGGCUAGACUGGUUUAGGUUCCGGUGAACGAGCCUACAUUGAGGCUCGGGAGAAACUUGUCCAACCUGUAAUCGAGCAGAUGAUGGCUGCCCGAGGGCUCGAAACUCCUCCCCGGACACCUAACAUCGGUGUCGCCUUGGCCGGCGGUGGUUACCGUGCAAUGCUGUGAGUGGAUUAAUGUUGCAAAAGAUAUGCUCAUUACUUAUCAUUGGCACAGUACGGGGUUGGGUGGUAUCAUGGGCAUGAUGAAUGAGAGCACGGAAGCGUCCGAAAGCGAGACUGGUGGUUGGCUUGACGGCGUAAGCUACUGGGCUGGUCUGAGCGGUGGGAGUUGGGCAACCGGGACUUUCAUGUCUAAUGGGGGUCAGUUGCCCACAAAUCUUCUUGAAAACGUGGGUUUCUGGCAUGAUGUAUGUGUUCAUCUACUGACUUGCGUGAUAGCUCUGGAACAUCG